ACCCUAUAGGGUGAAUAAAAUUAACACCAUCAAUUCUGUCCUACGAUCUCGGGAUGGGAAGGAGGCAUACAGCAGGGCGCCUGCCAUCUUCAAUCUGCUGCGUAGUGGUGGAUCAGGGAGGCGCCAUGACCUUGGAUCGGGAGUGUGCAGGGUCCCCCUCCGGAGCCUUGGCGGCAAUCAGCCGGAGGUCUGCAUUGGGGCCGCCUGCAGAAGCCUUGGAGGCGGAAUCCGUGAACAUGGGCGGAGUGUUUCCGGAGGCGGCCUCUGUGCGGCGCUGGCCCUGGGAGCCUGCGGGAAGGAUGCGGGAAUUUCUUG
rnacentral:lncRNA from 1 species